rnacentral:rRNA from 1 species
CCUACGGGUGGCUGCAGUGGGGAAUAUUGCACAAUGGGGGAAACCCUGAUGCAGCGACGCCGCGUGAAGGAAGAAGUAUUUCGGUAUGUAAACUUCUAUCAGCAGGGAAGAAAAUGACGGUACCUGACUAAGAAGCCCCGGCUAACUACGUGCCAGCAGCCGCGGUAAUACGUAGGGGGCAAGCGUUAUCCGGAUUUACUGGGUGUAAAGGGAGCGUAGGCGGUACGGCAAGCCUGAUGUGAAAGCCCGCGGCCCAACCGCGGGACUGCAUUGGGAACUACCGGGCUGGAGUGCCGGAGAGGUAGGCGGAAUUCCUGGUGUAGCGGUGAAAUGCGUAGAUAUUAGGAGGAACACCAGUGGCGAAGGCGGCCUACUGGACGGUGACUGACGCUGAGGCUCGAAAGCGUGGGGAGCAAACAGGAUUAGAUACCCGGGUAGUC